UACGGAGGGGGCUAGCGUUGUUCGGAAUUACUGGGCGUAAAGGGCUCGUAGGCGGCCAACUAAGUCGGACGUGAAAUCCCCAGGCUCAACCUGGGAACUGCGUCUGAUACUGGAUGGCUUGAAUCCGGGAGAGGGAUGCAGAAUUCCAGGUGUAGCGGUGAAAUCCGUAGAAUUAUGAAGGAAUACUGAUGGCGAAGGCGACUAUCUAUUUUAAUCUGACGCUGAGGAGCGAAAGCAUGGGGAGCGAACAGG
rnacentral:rRNA from 1 species